rnacentral:rRNA from 1 species
GUUCUUGAAGAAUUAGCCACCGCUCAAUUCGUACCAGCCAGUCGCGGUAAUAACGGGAGAGGCAAAGCGUUAUCCCGCAAUUAUUUGGGCGUAAAGGCGUCGGCAGAGCGGACCUUGUUAAAUCUGUUGGUAAAGCGUGGAGCUUAACUCCAUUUGAGCAAUGGAAACUGCAAGGCUUUGAGUGUGGUAAGGGGCAGAGGGAAUUCCCGGUGUAGCGGUGAAAUGCGUAGAUAUCGGGAAGGAACACCCAGUGGCGAAGGCGCUCUGCUGGGCCAUAAACUGACGCUCAUGGACGAAAGCCAGGGGAGCGAAAGAGAUUAGAUACCCCUGUAGUCCGGCCGUAAACGAUGAACACUAGGUGUCGGGGGAAUCGACCCCCUCGGUGUCGUAGCCAACGCGUUAAGUGUUCCGCCUGGGGAGUACGCACGCAAGUGUGAAACUCAAAGGAAUUGACGGGGGCCCGCACAAGCGGUGGAGUAUGUGGUUUAGUUCGAUGCAACGCGAAGAACCUUACCAGGGUUUGACAUCCUGAGAAUCCCUUGGAAACGAGGGAGUGCCUUCGGGAGCUCAGUGACAAAAUGGUGCAUGACUGUAGUCAGCUCGUAUCGUGAGAUG